CAGACAUAUCAUUUUUAUUGAACACAGAAGUCAAACACAAUAGUUUUUAAACACAGACAUUACAGUACGUCUUCAUCAAUAUAAUAUAUUAUUAGGUGAACGAUGGAAAGCACAUAUGCACGGCAGGUACACGACAGUUACAGGUACAGUCACAGAGCACCGUCAGAGCCAAACGACAACAGAGAGACAGUAGGGAAGCUAGAUCAAUAUCAUCUUCUCCAUCAUCAUCACCACCACCACCAUCAUCACCACCAUCUUCAUCAUCAUCAUCACCACCAUCAUCAUCACCACCAUCAUCUUCAUCACUACCAUCAUCGUCAUCACCACAUUCUUCAUCAUCACCACCAUCAUCACCACCAUCACCACAUUCUUCAUCAUCACCACAUUCUUCAUCAUCCAUCAUCAUCAUCAUCCCCACCAUCGUCAUCUCACUGGCAACACACUAGACAACGUUUAGCCUAUUAAAUAAACUGACAUUGAAGUCCUUUUAUGUCUCUCUAUUUAAGAGAAGGGCAGCGCUGACAGAUCAAUAGGAUACUUAAAGCAAUGGCAGGAGAGACAGUUUGUGUUUCAGCACGGAGCGAGGGAGUGUGAGAGAGAUGCAGAGAAGAGAGAGAGACAGAGAGAGAGAGAGAGAGAGAGAGAGAGAGAGAGAGAGAGAGAGAGAAAGACGUAAGGUAGAUCUGUAUUGGUCCUAGCUGCAGUUGAGCUAUAGCAGAACUGAAAUCUCCUGUCCGGUAAUACAGAAGAAUGAAAAGAGAUAGAAUUCAUUAAUUCAAAAAUAAAUAAUGAAUUGGAUUGUAAAAAAGAGCAUUCAUGCAAGCAGGGAGAAAUUUCACAGAAUGUGUGACAUUUAGGAAAGAAAAUCUGCAGGAAGCUAGAUUUCAUCUUCAUCAAGUCUGAGGAGUAACAUUGCAUAAAACUUCACGUGUCAAACUUUAGUUUCAGCUUUUAAAAUCUAUAUUGGAGAAACAUUUCAGCCAAGCAAAAAAAAAAAAAACCCCACACUACUUGGUCCUCUCUAUGAAAACAUGUUAAACAUCUUUGUCUCAGGGUAAAUGUCACUCAGUCAACCUGAAACACAAAGACAUGCCAGAUCCCAGAAGGCUCCUUGAUAUCUGCAGGACCAGGUGGGAAUAGUUUUGGUGCUGGGUUGGGUCUCCUACUGUUCAGGAAAUGAGGCUGCAGCAGACAGGCAGACAGACAGGCAGGCAGACAGACAGGCAGACAGGCAGGCAGACAGGGAGCCCAGCAGCUAUCCCCACUGAACGCUGUUUACAGUCUGCCUGGUGUACUCCAUGCUGCUGGGGCUGGGGCCUGUCUGUCUCUGUGGUUCAGCCUAAUGACAGAGACUGGCCGUGGCUCAAGGAGGGGAGGAAGGAGGAGGUAGGAAGGGAGGAAGAGAUCGGGAGAGAGGGAAGGAAGCCUCACGACCUUCUCUAUAGAGACCUACCCUAACUAAAGAGGUAGUCCUGCCCUCCAAAACCCACACCGUGACAGACAGUGCUCCAUGUACACUAGCAGUGUAUUGGUGGGAAUUCAUUAGCCAUGGCAAGUAGGUAGCUAGCAGCCUCCACAGAGGAAGACCAUGAACGGAGCGGUCCUCCUGAAUCACAGGAGGUACAGAGGAAACUCAGCUUCCCCAUCAGCUUAACCAUUAAGGGGAAAUGGAAAACUGACCCAAGAUUAGCCUUCUAGGGACAAGUACACCUGAACCGCAGCCAAUCACAGCAGAGCCAAGUGUUCCAUACGUCUCCAGUCUGCUAGAGAUGGAAUGUGUUUCAAAACACUACAACACCGGUCAAAAGUUUUACAACACCUCACUCAUUCAAGGGUUUUUCUUUAUUGACAUUUUUCCCCCCCUAUUUUCUACAUUGUAGAAUAACAGUGAAGACAUCAAAACUAUGAAAUAAUCCAU
rnacentral:lncRNA from 1 species